rnacentral:rRNA from 1 species
AGUCAACAUGCCCAGGGGACGUGGAUAACCUCGGGAAACUGAGGAUAAACCGCGAUAGGUCAUCACUUCUGGAAUGGGUAAUGACUUAAAUCUACAUGGCCCCUGGAUUGGACUGCGGCCGAUCAGGCUGUUGGUGAGGUAAUGGCCCACCAAACCUGUAACCGGUACGGGCUCUGAGAGGAGGAGCCCGGAGAUGGGCACUGAGACAAGGGCCCAGGCCCUAUGGGGCGCAGCAGGCGCGAAACCUCUGCAAUAGGUGAAAGCUUGACAGGGUUACUCUGAGUGAUUUCCGUUAAGGAGAUCUUUUGGCACCUCUAAAAAUGGUGCAGAAUAAGGGGUGGGCAAGUCUGGUGUCAGCCGCCGCGGUAAUACCAGCACCCCGAGUGGUCGGGACGUUUAUUGGGCCUAAAGCAUCCGUAGCCGGUUCUACAAGUCUUCCGUUAAAUCCACCUGCUUAACAGAUGGGCUGCGGAAGAUACUAUAGAGCUAGGAGGCGGGAGAGGCAAGCGGUACUCGAUGGGUAGGGGUAAAAUCCGUUGAUCCAUUGAAGACCACCAGUGGCGAAGGCGGCUUGCCAGAACGCGCUCGACGGUGAGGGAUGAAAGCUGGGGGAGCAAACCGGAUUAGAUACCCGGGUAGUCCCAGCUGUAAACGAUGCAGACUCGGUGAUGAGUUGGCUUAUUGCUAACUCAGUGCCGCAGGGAAGCCGUUAAGUUUGCCGCCUGGGGAGUACGGUCGCAAGACUGAAACUUAA